rnacentral:misc_RNA from 1 species
AUACUCAAAACCCUAAUUGCGAAUCUGAGGACUGUAUAAACACUCAAAUCGAGAUUGAAACCCUAACCCCCGAAGCAGCAAGCAAACGUAGGAACUAAAAGUAGAAAUCAAAACCCUAAUUUUAAAAAAAUCUGAAGAUAAAAUAAAUAGCCGAAUCUGAUAUUGAACCCUGAUUGCUAAGUUUGGACGAGUAAUUCGAUACUCGACGAACUCUAUCUAGGACGAUUAAGCGAGAGAUAAGAGGGUGAAGAGCAAGAGCAGUGAAAACCUUAGCCGGACGGAUAUUGUCGCCGGAGAUGACAGAACAGCAGCGAGUGGAUAUGAGGUUUGAGAUAUUGAGAUUGAAAUCGAGUAAAAAUUACGAGAGAUACCAAGGAAAUAGCGGAGGGCGAUGGGGGAUAAAUGCGGAAGAGUAUAAUGUUGGAAGCGGAGAGGAAAAUAGGUUGUGCACGACUGUGUUGUGUUUGGGAAAAU